GGCUCGACGGUCCCACCGAGAGUUGAAUGGGAUCCCAGCGUGAUCUGGCACACGGGCGGGAAGGGAGCGCAACACACGUCCUGGACGAGGUUUGAGCCAAAAGCACCGUGCUGCCCGACUUUCAUCGACAUUCCUUCUCCUGCCCGGCCCGCAGGACCGAGCCAACCGAUUCGCGGUGCGUAAUUACGCAUCGGGACGACACACAUCGGCUGUGCUUUUCGGCGUGGAAACCCCGCGGACAAAGAAAGGCAGGCGGGCUGUAGUAUAAGCUACUUGAGAAGAGAGGACUACAGUUCGAGGAGAAAUAGGGAAGUCUGGAGUCGGAAGUGAUUUGUCUAUUUUUUGUUGUCGGAGAUGUAAGUUGCGGCCAGGAUUUCGGGGAAAAGGCGAAUCUGUCUCCUGGAAAUCAAGGAGAAAAAGACAACGUGGAGCGGUGGUGAGUGGAAUCCGUCCUAAAAAGCAUCCAGAUCCUCGGAGCAUGGGAGGAGUUUCCUGUGAGCUGUAAAAUGUUUCCGGUACAUCGAGAGAGUGACUCCAACGCUGUUCAGUGGUCUUUGACCCACGUCUGUACCAUCAG
ensembl:lncRNA